ensembl:lncRNA
GAGAGACCACAGCAGCAUAGGAUAAAAAAGAAAGAGGGGAAUUAUAAUGGUGGAUUUUUUUGGUUAAAGCCUUGGCUUAAGGAAUUGGAGACCUCCUAUACUUCAUUUUUAAGUUAUAUUCAAUGAAUCCAUCAUUUCCCAUGUGAAAAUGGCAUUUUGGAGGACAAGGAGAAAUUUCAACCAGCUUUAUGAAAUACUGCUGAGUACAGAAGCAACCACUUCUGAAAAUGCUUGACAACAGCCCACUGUAUCUGUGGUCUCACAUGGGCUUUGCUCACUGUGUGCAAUUAUGUCCUAAAUCAGACGACUGCAACACAUGAGGCUUUUUUCUUCAGUGACCCCCAGCUGAACGUGUUGAAUCAUGUUCCUCAAGACUGACACAUCCCCAGUGUGACAGGAAGAAAGUCCUGAUGGAAAUAGUGUUACUGCUGACCGUCAACUGCUGUCAUCCCUGAUACACUCUGAGGCCACAUUGCAUCUUGGCAGUGGUCAGCCUCGCAGAAAACUGCCUGAGCUUGCACUACUCUCUGCUGUGUUUAUAUUUGGCUGGACAGCUCAAGAUUAUUCUUUCAGCCUGGAGAGCAGUGGAAGCCAUGUUUUACAGCAGCUGAGAAUUGCUAAAAUAAUACUUCUUCUGUGCAUGCACUUAAAAGUAAGGAUGUAGGGUCCAAGUACUUCAAGGAGAGGCUGUCACACCUGGGUAUUAGUAGUAAACGUCUGAGUACUGAGUUUCAGCCUUACGGGUGCUGUAGGGUAGAAUAAAAUUGUCACAGACAAACUAACCCUAGAUGGAUGAAUCCUAGAUGAAAUAUUUCAUACUUCUGCCUCUUGAUAACUACAUCUGAUGAGUGUGCGGUCAAGACCAGGAUUUUGUAGAUAUAUAAAGCCAAUAACUAUGUUUAAUAAAGAGUCAAAGAAAGCAAAGAUUAAGUAAAUAACAUGUGGCAUAUCUGUAACAUCCAUGAAAAGAUAAAUUGAGUGCUUUAAGACUCAUCAUCUUUUAAUGCUAUUUAAUUUUUUGUUUCCCAUCUCCCAGACUAUGAAAGGUUGGCCACACCAGAGCAGGAUGUUGCUGAACAGCCUACAAACAGCAUGUAAUGGCCAACACAUGCCCUUUAGAUUUUACGUGCCC